rfam:Aphanizomenon flos-aquae 2012/KM/D3 mira_175_len:16275, whole genome shotgun sequence.
GUCAGUAACCCAGCCCUAAAGGGACUGGGCUUGCAAGAGUAAUCAAGCAAGCCGUACUGACCAGACCACCCUGAGCGACUUGCCCUGACUUGUGCCGAGCGAAGUCGAGGUAGCGAUGUCGAAGGGAGUCGAAGGGUAGCCGUUAUUUGAGUCACGACACCCACCGAAUGCGUUGCCAGUUCCCUGCUCUGUCGCUUGUGAUUAAACAGUUCUAAGGUCACUGGAACAGUGUUGCAAGCCCAACAAGCUCUUAUAACAGGUCGUUCGCGCCAGCGUGCCGUAGGCAUCGGCUAACAUUAC